rnacentral:rRNA from 1 species
GUCUAUGGCCAUACCACACUGAAUGCGCCAGUCUCCCCUGAUCAUGGAAGCUAAAGCAGGGUCAGGCCUAGUUAGUACUUGGAUAGGAGAAAUAAUACCUUUGAAA